rnacentral:rRNA from 1 species
GACGAACGCUGGCGGCGUGCUUAACACAUGCAAGUCGAACGAUGAAGCUGGAGCUUGCUCCGGUGGAUUAGUGGCGAACGGGUGAGUAACACGUGAGCAAUCUGCCCUUGACUCUGGGAUAACUGCGGGAAACUGUAGCUAAUACCGGAUACGAGGCUCGAAGGCAUCUUCGGGUCUGGAAAGAAUUUCGGUCAAGGAUGAGCUCGCGGCCUAUCAGCUUGUUGGUGAGGUAAUGGCUCACCAAGGCGACGACGGGUAGCCGGCCUGAGAGGGUGACCGGCCACACUGGGACUGAGACACGGCCCAGACUCCUACGGGAGGCAGCAGUGGGGAAUAUUGCACAAUGGGCGAAAGCCUGAUGCAGCAACGCCGCGUGAGGGAUGAAGGCCUUCGGGUUGUAAACCUCUUUUAGCAGGGAAGAAGCGAAAGUGACGGUACCUGCAGAAAAAGCACCGGCUAACUACGUGCCAGCAGCCGCCGCAG